rnacentral:lncRNA from 1 species
AGUCAUUUUCGUUAAAUUAUUUGACAAAACUAAUAUGUAACAGUGUUAAUAGUAUAAAAAUAAAAAAUAAUUAAAAAAUCAAAAGUUUCAUAUAUGAAAUAUUAAUAACAAUUUCUCUUUUCACAUAUUUUAAAUUUGUAAUUUUUUUUAUUUUUUACAUUUUGAUAUUUAUAUAUAUCAAUUUUGCCUGAAAAAUAAAUGAUUAAUGGUUUGAGUAUUUUUUAUGAAACAAUUGUAAAUAUGAAAAUUUUUUUAUAUAACACAUUUAAAUAUGAGGGAUUUUAUGAUAGCAAUUUAAACAUGAAGAAUUUAAGUAUAAUAACUUUAAAAUUGAGGGACUACGGAUGUAAAUUACUACCUCUCAUCUGGUCAAGAAGCUUUUACCACAAGAAUUUUCAGGACAAUGCCGUUGCACAAGUCCAAAUCAAGCCUUAAACAAGUCGAGCCGGCGGCCAAGCAAAGCGGAGGAAAUCCCUGCCCAAUCCCAGGAUUUUGGCAAGUUGAGAUUGGCUUCAAAUAAAUUACCUUGGUUGUUUUCUCUAUCUUUAUUUAAAAUUCAGGGGCAAAUUCUCUUAAGUGAAGAAUGUAAUAAUCUGAAUUUUUUUUUUUAUAAUUAAAGUAAUUUAUUUAGUGUAUAAUUUUAAAUUUUAAUAAAAUUAAAUUAGUACACGGAGAUAUUUUAAAAA